AUACGGAGGGUGCAAGCGUUAAUCGGAAUCACUGGGCGUAAAGCGCGCGUAGGCCGCCUUCUAAGUCGGACGUGAAAGCCCUCGGCUCAACCGAGGAACUGCGUUCGAAACUGGGAGGCUUGAGUCCUGGAGAGGGUGGCGGAAUUCCGGGUGUAGGAGUGAAAUCCGUAGAGAUCUGGAGGAACACCAGUGGCGAAGGCGACUACCUGGACCGAUACUGACACUGAGGAGCGAAAGCGUGGGGAGC
rnacentral:rRNA from 1 species